rnacentral:rRNA from 1 species
UACGGAGGGAGCUAGCGUUGUUCGGAAUUACUGGGCGUAAAGCGCACGUAGGCGGCUUUGUAAGUUAGAGGUGAAAGCCCGGGGCUCAACCCCGGAAUUGCCUUUAAGACUGCAUCGCUUGAAUCCAGGAGAGGUGAGUGGAAUUCCGAGUGUAGAGGUGAAAUUCGUAGAUAUUCGGGAAGAACACCAGUGGCGAAGGGCGGCUCAC